rnacentral:lncRNA from 1 species
GGUACUGUUUCCUUGGUGUCGUCCACCCCUUCUGGAUCAUGUAAUCUCACUACCUUCUUUUCUGCAUAGCUCCCUGUGCACUGAUGAGAAAGGUUUGAUGAAGAUAUUCCAAUUACAAUUGAGUAUUCUAAUGUCUCAUCCUGUCCUACAAGUCCCUAAAUAAUACAAUUUUAACAUGAAUGUUCCAGAAAAGAAUCAGGUUGGCUGCUUGAAGACACCUGAGGUCUGGGCCUGCACACUUCAGAUCCCAUCCCGCUAGGAUCCAG